GUGAGGGAAAGGUGAAAAGAACCCCGGGAGGGGAGUGAAAUAGAACCUGAAACCCUGCACUUACAAGCUGUGGGAGCACAUUACUUGUGUGACCGCGUACUUUUUGUAGAACGGGCCAACGAGUUACGUUAAGUAGCAAGGUUAAGCACUUAAGGUGUGGAGCCGUAGCGAAAGCGAGUCUUAAAUGGGCGAUUAAGUUACUUGGCGUAGACCCGAAACCGGGCGACCUAUCCAUGAGCAGGUUGAAGCGAAAGUAAAAUUUCGUGGAGGACCGAACCCACGAGCGUUGAAAAGCUCGGGGAUGACUUGUGGAUAGCGGUGAAAUUCCAAUCGAGCCCGGAGAUAGCUGGUUCUCCCCGAAAUAGCUUUAGGGCUAGCCUCAAGCGUAGAGAAACGGAGGUAGAGCACUGAAUGUCCUAGGGGGUAUUGCACUUACCGAAGACUAUCAAACUCCGAAUGCCGUUUUCUUUUACUUGGGAGUCAGACUGUGGGUGAUAAGAUUCAUAGUCAAAAGGGCAACAGCCCAGAUCGUCAGCUAAGGUCCCUAAAUGUACGUUAAGUGGUAAAGGAUGUGGGAUUGCACAGACAACCAGGAUGUUGGCUUAGAAGCAGCCACUCAUUUAAAGAGUGCGUAAUAGCUCACUGGUCGAGUGAUCCUGCGCCGAAAAUUUCCGGGGCUAAAACGUACUACCGAAGCUACGGCAUCAUUUAUGAUGGGUAGGGGAGCUUCGUAUGCAGGCUGAAGCAUGACCGUAAGGACAUGUGGACAGUAUACGAGUGAGAAUGUUGGCAUGAGUAGCGAGACGUGGGUGAGAAUCCCACGGGCCGUAAACCCAAGGUUUCCAGGGGAAGGUUCGUCCGCCCUGGGUUAGUCGGGACCUAAGCCGAGGCCGAAAGGCGUAGGUGAUGGACAACAGGUUGAUAUUCCUGUACCGCCAAUAAGCGUUUGAGAGAUGGAGUGACACAGUAGGAUAAGCUAACCGUACUGUUGGUUAUGUACGGCUAAGCAUUGAGGCAGUCUAAAUAGGCAAAUCCGUUUAGACAAUGCUAGGAUGUGAUGGGGAAGCCCUUCGGGGCGAAGUAGCUGAUUUCACACUGUCAAGAAAAGCUUCUAUCGAGUUUAAAGGCGCCCGUACCGUAAACCGACACAGGUGGGUGAGGAGAGUAUCCUAAGGCCAGCGAGAGAACUAUUGUUAAGGAACUCGGCAAAAUGACCCCGUAACUUAGGGAGAAGGGGUGCCUGUCUAUGACAGGCCGCAGAGAAUAGGCCCAAGCGACUGUUUACCAAAAACACAGGUUUCUGCUAAGUCGCAAGACGAUGUAUAGGAGCUGACGCCUGCCCGGUGCUGGAAGGUUAAGGGGAUCUGUUAGAGCAAUCGAAGCAGUGAACUUAAGCCCCAGUAAACGGCGGCCGUAACUAUAACGGUCCUAAGGUAGCGAAAUUCCUUGUCGGGUAAGUUCCGACCCGCACGAAAGG
rnacentral:rRNA from 1 species